UGAAGGCCCUUGGGUUGUAUACCCCUUUGUUCGGGAAGAAGUGCGAUCAGGUGAACAAUCUGGUCGUUUGACGGUACCGGACGAAUAAGCUCCGGCUAACUCCGUGCCAGCAGCCGCGGUAACACGGGGGGAGCAAGCGUUGUUCGGAAUCACUGGGCGUAAAGGGCGUGUAGGCGGUCAGGUAAGUGAGACGUGAAAUGCCUCGGCUCACCCGAGGAGCGGCGUCUCAUACUGCUUGGCUUGAGUACGGGAGAGGAUGUGGGAAUUCCUGGUGUAGCGGUGAAAUGCGUAGAUAUCAGGAGGAACACCGGUGGCGAAGGCGCACAUCUGGCCCGAUACUGACGCUGAGGCGCGAAAGCUAGGGGAGCAAACGGGAUUAGAUACCCCGGUAGUCCUAGCCGUAAACGGUGAUCACUAGGUGUUGGGGGCACUGACCCCUCCAGUGCCGCAGCUAACGCAUUAAGUGAUCCGCCUGGGGAGUACGGCCGCAAGGUUG
rnacentral:rRNA from 1 species